AGCAGGACAUUGUCAAACGAUUUUUGUGGGCCCUCAAGGCUGGAAGUUUCUCGAAUUGCUGUAAUUUUAGUUAAACGUGUAGCUGUUACACAUAUCCAAGAUGUUUGGCUCUUACAAAUCUGGGAAAUUGGAAGUUCAUUGAUGUUGCUGCAGCUGUCUGAAAUGGCCCUUCUAGUGUCUUAGUUCAGUUGGCAGCUUGGCAAAAAGCAAAAAUAACCUUAUUCUUCAUGGCCAUAUGAUCUUUUCUUGUUUUCCUACUCAAAUAGUCUUCAAAUGUUAGUUUUAGCUCAUUCUGUCUAUCAAGGGAUAGUCAAAAGUACCGUUACUUCCACUUUU